rnacentral:rRNA from 1 species
GACGAACGCUGGCGGCGUGCUUAACACAUGCAAGUCGAACGGAAAGGCCCUGCUUUUGUGGGGUGCUCGAGUGGCGAACGGGUGAGUAACACGUGAGUAACCUGCCCUUGACUUUGGGAUAACUUCAGGAAACUGGGGCUAAUACCGGAUAGGAGCUCCUGCUGCAUGGUGGGGGUUGGAAAGUUUCGGCGGUUGGGGAUGGACUCGCGGCUUAUCAGCUUGUUGGUGGGGUAGUGGCUUACCAAGGCUUUGACGGGUAGCCGGCCUGAGAGGGUGACCGGCCACAUUGGGACUGAGAUACGGCCCAGACUCCUACGGGAGGCAGCAGUGGGGAAUAUUGCACAAUGGGCGGAAGCCUGAUGCAGCAACGCCGCGUGCGGGAUGACGGCCUUCGGGUUGUAAACCGCUUUCGCCUGUGACGAAGCGAGAGUGACGGUAAUGGGUAAAGAAGCACCGGCUAACUACGU